UACGUAGGGUGCGAGCGUUGUCCGGAAUUAUUGGGCGUAAAGAGCUCGUAGGCGGUGUGUCGCGUCGGCCGUGAAAACCUGGGGCUCAACUCUGGGCGUGCGGUCGAUACGGGCAGGCUGGAGUUCGGUAGGGGAGACUGGAAUUCCUGGUGUAGCGGUGAAAUGCGCAGAUAUCAGGAGGAACACCGAUGGCGAAGGCAGCUCGCUGGGACGGUACUGACGCUGAGGCGCGAAAGCGUGGGGAGCAAACAGG
rnacentral:rRNA from 1 species